rnacentral:rRNA from 1 species
GGUAAGGUAACGGCUUACCAAGGCGAUGAUGCAUAGCCGAGUUGAGAGACUGAUCGGCCACGUUGGGACUGAGACACGGCCCAAAACUCCGUACGGGAGGCAGCAGUAGGGAAUCUUCCACAAUGGACGAAAGUCUGAUGGAGCAACGCCGCGUGAGUGAAGAAGGUUUUCGGAUCGUAAAAGCUCUGUUGUUGGUGAAGAAGGAUAGAGGUAGUAACUGGCCUUUAUUUGACGGUAAUCAACCAGAAAGUCACGGCUAACUACGUGCCAGCAGCCGCGGUAAU